UACGUAGGGUGCAAGCGUUGUCCGGAAUUAUUGGGCGUAAAGAGCUCGUAGGCGGUUGUUGCGGCGGCUGUGAAAUCCCGAGGCUCAACCUCGGGUCUGCAGUCGAUACGAGCAAACUAGAGUGUUGCAGGGGAGACUGGAAUUCCUGGUGUAGCGGUGAAAUGCGCAGAUAUCAGGAGGAACACCGGUGGCGAAGGCGGGUCUCUGGGCAACAACUGACGCUGAGGAGCGAAAGCGUGGGGAGCGAACAGG
rnacentral:rRNA from 1 species